rnacentral:tRNA from 1 species
GGGGGUGUGGCUCACAGGGAGAGCACGUGCCUAGCAGGCACGAGGUCCGGGUUCAGUCCCCAGCACCUCUG